GAGUACAACCAAACCUCCGCAAUGAACGGGACCACUCCCUUAUCUAAGAGCCACACCUCUAAGAAUUAAAACACUAACAUAAAAUGAUCCAUGAUCUGAUCAAUGAACCAAGUUACCCUGGGGAUAACAGCGCAAUCCAUUUCAAGAGCCCCUAUCGACAAGUGGGUUUACGACCUCGAUGUUGGAUCAGGGUAUCCUAGUGGUGCAGCAGCUACUAAUGGUUCGUUUGUUCAACGAUUAA
rnacentral:rRNA from 1 species